GAAGGGGGAAGCAAGCGUUAUCCGGAAUCACUGGGCGUAAAGCGUCUGUAGGUGGUGAUGCAAGUCACUGGUGCAAAACUCUGGCUCAACCGGAGGAAAGCCAGUGAAACUGCAUGACUAGAGUGUGGGAGAGGUAGAAGGAAUUCCCUGAGUAGCGGUGAAAUGCGUAGAUACAGGGAAGAACACCGGAGGCGAAAGCGUUCUACUGGAACACAACUGACACUGAGAGAAGAAAGCUAGGGGAGCGAAUGGG
rnacentral:rRNA from 1 species